GAUGAACGCUGGCGGCGUGCCUAAUACAUGCCAGUCGAGCGAACGGACGAGAAGCUUGCUUCGCUGAUGUUAGCGGCGGACGGGUGAGUAACACGUGGAUAACCUACCUAUAAGACUGGGAUAACUUCGGGAAACCGGAGCUAAUACCGGAUAAUAUUUUGAACCGCAUGGUUCAAAAGUGAAAGACGGUCUUGCUGUCACUUAUAGAUGGAUCCGCUCUGCAUUAGCUAGUUGGUAAGGUAACGGCUUACCAAGGCAACGAUGCAUAGCCGACCUGAGAGCGUGAUCGGCCACCCUGGAAGUGAGACACGGUCCAGACUCCUACAGGAAGCAGCAGUAGAGAAUCUUACGCAAUGGGCGAAAGACUGACGGAGCAACGCCGCGUGAGUGAUGAAGGUCUUCGGAUCGUAAAACUCUGUUAUUAGGCAAGAACAUAUCUGUAAGUAACUGUGCACAUCAUGACGGUACCUAAUCAGAAAGCCACGGCUAACUACGUG
rnacentral:rRNA from 1 species